rnacentral:rRNA from 1 species
GACGUAGGGGGCCAGCGUUGUUCGGAAUUACUGGGUGUAAAGGGUUCGUAGGCGGUGUAGCAAGUCGGGAGUGAAAUCUCUGGGCUUAACCCAGAGGCUGCUUCCGAAACUGCUGUGCUUGAGUGUGGGAGAGGCGCGUGGAAUUGCAGGUGUAGCGGUGAAAUGCGUAGAUAUCUGCAGGAACACCCGUGGCGAAAGCGGCGCGCUGGACCACUACUGACGCUGAGGAGCGAAAGUGUGGGGAGCGAACAGG